AAAAAUAUGAUCGCUUCUUCGUUGAACGUGUAAAAGAUACACCAGGUUCAGUCUUCACUAAUGGAGGUCGGGGAGGAAAGAUUGGGUAUAGAAGUGAUACUAAAAUCACGCCAUCUACUUUUCUCUCUCUUCCCUAUUGUUGCUCUCUUUUUUCUUUUUUCUUUUUUCUUUUUUCUCUCUGGCAUCCAUUAUUUCUGAUAAAUGGAAUGGCAAGAAUUGAUUUGAAGACCAGAGGCUAAAUCUAUGGAAUCGAAAUGGCCGAGAGAUAUAUUGCCUACAAGAUCAACAAAAAUCGAUUGGAGGGCCAAAGACUAAAUCUAUACGUUGGAAUAUCCCACGUUGCCCAGUUAUAACUGUGCGAUCUAUAAAAUUCAUGUUUUCCUCUCUUUAAUACUUGACUUUUAAGAAAUUGGAUGGUCUGACUUGACUAGUGGUAUCAGAGCAAGGUUCGGCUUCUUUUCCUGCAUGCCAAGUGUCAGGCGACUCAGGCCCCCUAAACAAUGUCUUACACCACCCAAUUGUGGCCUAUAUGUACGAUCUAUUAAACUCAUAUUUUCCUUUCUUUAAUACCUAAAAUUUUAGGAAUUGAAUGGGCUGACCUGACUAGACUAUAAAAUGAAAAUGGCUGAGUACCAGCAACUGAGGAUGAGGGAUGAGAAACACAUGAUAUUUUUUUCUUUUCAUUUAGUUGCAGUUUUUUUUGGAUUCAACUCUCCGAGACGAGGAUUCUUAUCAUUUGUGUCCCGGUGUGUUUAAAUAGGAAUAAAGAAGGGAAAAUUCUGGUUUCUUUGUUGAUCGAUAUAUCUCUAGCUCGUGGAAUGGAACGGUUCUGUUUGGGCUUGUGAGUCCACUACCGAUAUUACAUCAAUGAUUCAAGUUGUCCUGGUAGUUAGUUUCAAAAUAAUUGAUGAUCAAUAUGAUUUUGAAAAUAAACUAACGUUUUUCAAGUAAAAUAUGAUAAAAUCAGAUG
rnacentral:lncRNA from 1 species